UACGUAGGGUGCGAGCGUUGUCCGGAAUUAUUGGGCGUAAAGAGCUCGUAGGCGGUUUGUCGCGUCUGCUGUGAAAACUGGGGGCUCAACCCCCAGCCUGCAGUGGGUACGGGCAGACUAGAGGUAGGUAGGGGAGAAUGGAAUUCCCGGUGUAGCGGUGAAAUGCGCAGAUAUCGAGAGGAACACCAAUGGCGAAGGCAGCACUCUGGGACGUGACUGACGCUGAGACGCGAAAGCGUGGGGAGCAAACAGG
rnacentral:rRNA from 1 species